UUGCACUUUACCACUACAGUUUCUUUAAAUACCCAUGUAUACACUCAUUCACAAUUCCCACACACAACACUGUAACACGACCAUACACAACAUGUACACAAUUGUCUUAGUUUGCCAUGUAGAAAUAUACAAACAGAAAUAUUCAGACUUUGGUUAUAAGAAAUUUAAUUUAAUAAUUGUAUUUAUUUAGCCGAGGUGUCCCUGGACUUUAUUGACAAAAGAUUUUGUUUUCAGAAUAAAAAGUUGUGUCCAAAUCAGUAACAAUUGUACUUUCUGUUCAGGACAUUCAAUCAUGACAUGAUCCAUGUGGAUGCUGUCCAUUGAGGAAAGAGUUUGUUCAGCGGUUUCUGGAUAUAAUUAAUUCCAAAGAUGGGAAAAAGUGCACAUCCAGACAAGGAGCAAGCAAAAAGACAAGGAACUUGGUGCAGAGAAAAGCUGUGGCCAUUAACCCCCAUGUGAACAGCUUCAUGCAGUCCCUGAUUGAGUUCGAAUGGACGACUUCAAAGUAAAGGCCACUGUGGUCUGUCUGCCACAGUUUAAUGCAUUUAUUUUUAGUGUUAAAUGAAAUUCAAGUAGAAUAUUUAAAACUAUGGGCCAGUGUUCUUUUUACCACAGUGAAAUGUUACCUUUUAGUCGAUGAUGGACUUUAAACUGAAAACUUCAAACUAUGGAACAGUGUUCUAUUUGCCAGAGUUAAAUAUGUUACAGCAGGGGUCUCCAAACUUGUUUAUACUUGUUGAUUUUAUUUUAUGUUACUUGAUUAUAUGUUUAUUAUUGUUUAAAAUCUUGUUUUAAAUAUGUUUUGUUUCGAUUAAAUGUUUUUUAAAUAAAAUUUUGAUACAAA